UACGUAGGGGGCAAGCGUUGUCCGGAUUUAUUGGGCGUAAAGAGCGUGUAGGCGGCCAUGUAGGUCCGUUGUGAAAACUGGAGGCUCAACCUCCAGCCUGCAGUGGGUACGGGCAAACUAGAGUGCGGUAGGGGAGAUUGGAAUUCCUGGUGUAGCGGUGGAAUGCGCAGAUAUCAGGAGGAACACCGAUGGCGAAGGCAGAUCUCUGGGCCGUAACUGACGCUGAGGAGCGAAAGCAUGGGGAGCGAACAGG
rnacentral:rRNA from 1 species